CUAUAAUUGUCGAAAGGGAUUGAAGUUCAGCUCACAGUACAAACAAUGUGCGAAGGACGCAUGCCCUGAUGGAUAUUACGGAGCUUUGUGCCAGCACAAAUGCUUAUAUACUUUUCUCGGUCCUAAGUGUAAGCUUCAAUGUUACUGAAAAAAAGCUUUUUGCAACCAUGUCCAUGGAUGUCCUUCGACAGUGAUCUUCAAUCAAUUAAUAUCGACAACAAAGAAUCCAUUAUCUGAAAAGGGAGGUGACGAAACUUCUGUUAGGGACACAACAGGGGCCAAUACAAAGCCUAUUUCAUCCUUUGCGAAUCGUA